rnacentral:rRNA from 1 species
UUUAACUGAAGAGUUUGAUCAUGGCUCAGAUUGAACGCUGGCGGCAGGCUUAACACAUGCAAGUCGAGCGGGGGAAGGUAGCUUGCUACUGGACCUAGCGGCGGACGGGUGAGUAAUGCUUAGGAAUCUGCCUAUUAGUGGGGGACAACAUCUCGAAAGG